rnacentral:rRNA from 1 species
UACGUAGGGUGCAAGCGUUAUCCGGAAUUAUUGGGCGUAAAGAGCUCGUAGGCGGUUUGUCGCGUCUGCUGUGAAAACUGGAGGCUCAACCUCCAGCCUGCAGUGGGUACGGGCAGACUAGAGUGCGGUAGGGGAGAUUGGAAUUCCUGGUGUAGCGGUGGAAUGCGCAGAUAUCAGGGAGGAACACCGAUGGCGAAGGCAGGUCUCUGGGCCACUACUGCGCUGAGAAGCGAAAGGCAUGGGGAGCGAACAGG